AAUAAAAAAAAUGUGAAGUGUCCGGACACCUCGAGCAGUUUUUGAGCAGAUAUGCAAUCUGUCUCAUUUUCUUCACAAAGUGUCCAGACACUUUAUGAGCCGUCCGGACACUCGACGAUAAAUUUCAUUUUAAAACACAUUGGGACAGUUCUAGGUUUAUUUCUUUCACUGGUUUUGACAGAGAGCGUCGAGAGAGAGAGAACCAAAGAGAAAAGAAGGAUUUUGGUGUGAAUCAAGGAGGAAGGAGCUUGAAUUGAAGAUUUUGGACUUUCUAAAGCUUGGUUUUCUAGAUUUCUUCAAGAUUGAGAUUUGAGCUUGGAUUGAAGUGUGGAGAUAGGAGGAGAGGUGGUUGUCCUAGGGUUUGAAGAUUUGGGCAAGGUUGAUUGGGCUUGGAAGAGUUGUGGUGUUUGGCCAAAACGAGGUGAUAUAGGUACUAGCGCUAGUGCUCCGACUACGGAUCAGCAGGGAGGAGCAUGACGCGGAUGGCCUGGACUUGUG